GCUAUUGAAGUUGAAACUAUAUGAAAAGAUUCAACUAGUGUUUUAACGUCAAAUUUACUAAAGUUUAAAUUAUAGCAACUGGAGAGAAUAACUUUCAGUAAAAGUUAAACUUAAUUACCUUCCAAAUAAAUUUUUGAACAUAAAAUAUUUUUCUUUUCUGCAUAAGAAAUAAUUCACCACCACAUACAUAUAUCUUUUUUUUGAGAGAUAGGUAGCACGCUACCCGCUUCGUUUAUUUCAUUUAGAAAUAAACUUAGCUGGAAAUGUGAAUCAACUAGGAUUCGAACUUGGGUCUCGGGUACCAACCACCAAGCCCUUUGCCACUUGCUCUAGGGACGGUCGGUACCACAUACAUAUAUCAAGUUAUAA
rnacentral:lncRNA from 1 species